rnacentral:rRNA from 1 species
GCUAAAAACCUAGCCCCUAAAUACCCCAUGUACCCUGACACCUCACUUUAAGAACUAAAACAUUUUACAGCAUAAGUAAAGGCGAUUGAAAGAGCAAUAGGAGCAAUAUAAAGAGUACCGCAAGGGAAAGAUGAAAUAGCAUGUGAAAUAGAAAUUAAGCACAAAGUAGUAGAGACUAAAUCUCGUACCUUUUGCAUCAUGGUCUAACAAGUCCAACCAAGCAUAAAGAUUUUCAGUUUGACUCCCCGAAACUAAGUGAGCUACUUCAGGGCAGCUUAUUGAGCGAACCCGUCUCUGUGGCAAAAGAGUGGGAAGACCUUCAAGUAGAGGUGACAGACCUAACGAACUUAGUGAUAGCUGGUUACUCAAGAAAAGGAUUUUAGUUCAGCCUAAAGUCUACCCAGUUAAACAAAACAUACCUCUGACUUUAGAGUAAUUCAAUUAAGGUACAGCCUAUUUGAAAAAGGAUACAACCUAAACUAAUGGGUUAGGCUUUAAGACUAUAAUUAAGUGGGCCCGAAAGCAGCCACCUUUAAGAUAGCGUCAAAGCUCCACUAUUCUAUUUAUUUAAUCCCAAAAAACAACCCAAACCCUUUAACCCUAUUGAGUAAUUCUAUACCCCUAUAGAACAUAUAAUGUUAAAACUAGUAACAAGAAGAAGACCUUCUCUUAAAUGCAAGUGUAAGUCAGCAAGAACAAAUCACUGACAAUUAACACACAUGAAAUUUAAUUAACAACCCCGCAAGAAAACCCUAAUUAAGCACAUGUUAACCUAACACAAGAGCAUUAAAAGAAAGAUUAAAAGGAAAAGAAGGAACUCGGCAAAUAUUUAACCUCGCCUGUUUACCAAAAACAUCGCCUCUUGACAUAACUAUAAGAGGUCCAGCCUGCCCAGUGACUCUGUUCAACGGCCGCGGUAUCCUGACCGUGCGAAGGUAGCGUAAUCACUUGUUCUUUAAAUGGGGACCUGUAUGAAUGGCACCACGAGGGUUAUACUGUCUCCUUUCCCUAAUCAGUGAAACUAACCUCCCCGUGAAGAGGCGGGGAUAAAAAUAUAAGACGAGAAGACCCUAUGGAGCUUUAAACCAAAUAACAAGUACUUUAAUUCUCUUAACCUUCAGAGAACAAACUUUUAUGUUAGUACUAUGGUUAUUAGUUUUAGGUUGGGGUGACCGCGGAGUAUAAACCAACCCCCGCGUUGAAUGGGACACAUCCCUGAGCCAAGAGCUACGACUUUAAGCACCAAUAAAUUGUCAUCAAUUGACCCAAUAUUUUGAUCAACGAACCAAGUUACCCUAGGGAUAACAGCGCAAUCCACUUUCAGAGUCCCUAUCGCCAAGUGGGUUUACGACCUCGAUGUUGGAUCAGGGUAUCCCAGUGGCGCAGCCGCUACUAAUGGUUCGUUUGUUCAACGAUUAAAACCCU